rnacentral:rRNA from 1 species
UACGUAGGGUGCGAGCGUUAAUCGGAAUUACUGGGCGUAAAGCGUGCGCAGGCGGUUUUGUAAGCCAGGUGUGUAAUCCCCGGGCUCAACCUGGGAAUGGCAUUUGGGACUGCAAGGCUGGAGUGCGGCAGAGGAGACUGGAAUUCCUGGUGUAGCAGUGAAAUGCGUAGAUAUCAGGAGGAAUACCGAUGGCGAAGGCAGGUCUCUGGGCUGACACUGACGCUCAUGCACGAAAGCGUGGGGAGCAAACAGG